rnacentral:rRNA from 1 species
CCUACGGGGUGCAGCAGUGGGGAAUAUUGGACAAUGGGGGGAACCCUGAUCCAGCCAUGCCGCGUGUGUGAAGAAGGCCCUCGGGUUGUAAAGCACUUUCAGUGAGGAAGAACGCCUGGUGGUUAAUACCCAUCAGGAAAGACAUCACUCACAGAAGAAGCACCGGCUAACCCCGUGCCAGCAGCCGCGGUAAUACGGAGGGUGCGAGCGUUAAUCGGAAUUACUGGGCGUAAAGCGCGCGUAGGUGGCUUGAUAAGCCGGUUGUGAAAGCCCCGGGCUCAACCUGGGAACGGCAUCCGGAACUGUCAAGCUAGAGUGCAGGAGAGGAAGGUAGAAUUCCCGGUGUAGCGGUGAAAUGCGUAGAGAUCGGGAGGAAUACCAGUGGCGAAGGCGGCCUUCUGGACUGACACUGACACUGAGGUGCGAAAGCGUGGGUAGCAAACAGGAUUAGAUACCCGUGUAGUC